rnacentral:rRNA from 1 species
GACGAACGCUGGCGGCAUGCUUAACACAUGCAAGUCGAACGGCAGCACGGACUUCGGUCUGGUGGCGAGUGGCGAACGGGUGAGUAAUGUAUCGGAACGUGCCCAGUCGUGGGGGAUAACGUAGUGAAAAUUACGCUAAUACCGCAUACGAUCUAUGGAUGAAAGCGGGGGAUCGCAAGACCUCGCGCGAUUGGAGCGGCCGAUAUCAGAUUAGGUAGUUGGUGGGGUAAAGGCCCACCAAGCCAACGAUCUGUAGCUGGUCUGAGAGGACGACCAGCCACACUGGAACUGAGACACGGUCCAGACUCCUACGGGAGGCAGCAGUGGGGAAGUUUGGACAAUGGGCGAAAGCCUGAUCCAGCCAUUCCGCGUGCAGGAUGAAGGCCCUCGGGUUGUAAACUGCUUUUGUACAGAACGAAAAGGUUUCUACUAAUACUAGGAGCUCAUGACGGUACUGUAAGAAUAAGCACCGGCUAACUACGUGCCAGCCGCCGCAGUAA